rnacentral:rRNA from 1 species
UACGUAGGUGGCAAGCGUUGUCCGGAUUUACUGGGCGUAAAGAGCGCGCAGGCGGUCGAUUUAGUCGCGUGUGAAAGCCCCCGGCUCAACUGGGGAGGGUCACGCGAUACUGAUCGACUCGAAGGCAGGAGAGGGUAGUGGAAUUCCCGGUGUAGUGGUGAAAUGCGUAGAUAUCUGGAGGAACACCGGUGGCGAAGGCGGCAUCCUGGACCGACACUGACACUGAGGAGCGAAAGCCAGGGGAGCAAACGGG